UACGUAGGGUGCGAGCGUUAAUCGGAAUUACUGGGCGUAAAGUGUGCGCAGGCGGCAGAGCAAGUCGAGUGUGAAAGCCCCGGGCUUAACUUGGGAAUUGCGCUCGAAACUACUUUGCUGGACUGUGGCAGAGGAAGGUGGAAUUCCACGUGUAGCGGUGAAAUGCGUAGAGAUGUGGAGGAACACCAAUGGCGAAGGCAGCCUUCUGGGCCAACACUGACGCUCAUGCACGAAAGCGUGGGGAGCAAACAGG
rnacentral:rRNA from 1 species